rnacentral:lncRNA from 1 species
AUUGAACUUUCUCUCUCUACUUUCUCUCUCUAGAAUUUUCUCUCUCUAGAUUGUUUCUCUCUCUUGAUGGAUUUCUCUCUCUCUAAAGUUAUUCCUCUAGGAUUAACGUAGUGGAGGCUUCAUUUGAUGAUUUUUGAUCGAGUUUAUAGAAGAGUUUGAUUUUAAGUGAGGUUUUGAUUUGGGACUUGUUUAGAUUUAAUUUUGAAUUAAAAUUAAUGUAAAAAUAUAAUUUUAGAUAAUAGGCAC